rnacentral:rRNA from 1 species
GACGAACGCUGGCGGCGUGCUUAACACAUGCAAGUCGAACGGAAAGGCCCUGCUUUUGUUGGGUGCUCGAGUGGCGAACGGGUGAGUAACACGUGAGUAACCUGCCCUUGACUUUGGGAUAACUUCAGGAAACUGGGGCUAAUACCUGAUAGGAGCUCCUGCUGCAUGGUGGGGUUUGGAAAGUUUCGGCGGUUGGGGAUGGACGCGCGGCUUAUCAGCUUGUUGGUGGGGUAGUGGCUUACGAAGGCUUUGGAGGGUAGCCGGCCUGAGAGGGUGACCGGGCACAUGGGGACUGAGAUACGGACCAGAGUCCUACGGGAGGCAGCAGUGGGGAAUAUUGCACAAUGGGGGGAAGUCUGAUGCAAAAACGCCGCGUGCGGGAUGAAGGCCUUCGGGUAAUGAAACGCAUUCGCCUAUGACGACGCGUGAGUGACGGUAAUGGGUAAAGAAGCACCGGCUAACUACGUG